UACGUAGGGUGCGAGCGUUAAUCGGAAUUACUGGGCGUAAAGCGUGCGCAGGCGGUUCGUUGUGUCGGUGGUGAAAGCCCCGGGCUUAACCUGGGAAUGGCCAUGGAAACUGGCGAACUGGAGUGUGGCAGAGGGGGGUGGAAUUCCGCGUGUAGCAGUGAAAUGCGUAGAGAUGCGGAGGAACACCGAUGGCGAAGGCAGCCCCCCUGGGCCACUACUGACGCUGAGAAGCGAAAGCAUGGGGGAGCGA
rnacentral:rRNA from 1 species